AGAACGAACGCUGGCGGCAGGCUUAACACAUGCAAGUCGAACGAUGUAGCAAUACAUAGUGGCGCACGGGUGAGUAACGCGUGGGAAUGUACCUUAUAGUGGGGAAUAACUUUGGGAAACUAGAGCUAAUACCGCAUACGCCCGAAAGGGGAAAGAUUUAUCGCUAUAAGAUCAGCCCGCGUGAGAUUAGGUAGUUGGUGGGGUAAUGGCCUACCAAGCCUACGAUCUCUAGCUGGUCUGAGAGGAUGAUCAGCCACACUGGAACUGAGACACGGCCCAGACUCCUACGGGGGGCAGCAGUGAGGAAUCUUCGUCAAUGGGCGCAAGCCUGAACGAGCGACGCCGCGUGGGGGACACGGCAUUUCGGUGUGUAAACCCCUUUUUCCGAGGACGAGAAGGGACGGUACUCGGAGAAUAAGCAUCGGCUAACUACGUGCCAGCAGCCGC
rnacentral:rRNA from 1 species